rfam:Schistocephalus solidus strain NST_G2 genome assembly, scaffold: SSLN_scaffold0009879
GGCCUCGAAGCUUAGUUGGCUAAAGCGUUGGUUGUACUAAAGCCUUCCCCUUGCUGGCGUGGGUUCGAAUCCCACUGAGGCUG